CAAAUCCUUCGGGGCAGGGUGAAAUUCCCGACCGGCGGUGAUAGAGGCUACGAGCCUCUUCAGUCCGUGAGCUGCGGCUUUUUUGGCCAAUGCUGACCCGGUGCAAGUCCGGGACCGACAGUAUAGUCUGGAUGGGAGAAGGAUGGA
rnacentral:ncRNA from 2 species